rnacentral:rRNA from 1 species
GACGAACGCUGGCGGCAUGCCUAACACAUGCAAGUCGAACGAGACCUUCGGGUCUAGUGGCGCACGGGUGCGUAACGCGUGGGAAUCUGCCCUUGGGUCUGGAAUAACAGUUAGAAAUGACUGCUAAUACCGGAUGAUGACUUCGGUCCAAAGAUUUAUCGCCCAGGGAUGAGCCCGUGUCGGCUUAACUAGUUGGUGGGGUAAAAGCUCACCAAGGCGACGAUCCGUAGCUGGUCUGAGAGGAUGAUCAGCCACACUGGAACUGGGACACGGCCCAGACUCCUACGGGAGGCAGAAGUGGGGAAUAUUGGACAAUGGGCUAAAGCCUGAUCCAGCAAUGCCGCGUGAGUGAUGAAGGCCUUAGGGUUGUAAAGCUCUUUUACCCGGGAUGAUAAUGACAGUACCGGGAGAAUAAGCCCCGGCUAACUCCGUGCCAGCCGCCGCAGUAAAAC